rnacentral:rRNA from 1 species
CACGUAGGGAGCAAGCGUUGUCCGGAUUUAUUGGGCGUAAAGAGCUCGUAGGCGGUCUGUCACGUCGGCUGUGAAAUCCCGAGGCUCAACCUCGGGUCUGCAGUCGAUACGGGCAAACUAGAGUAUUGCAGGGGAGACUGGAAUUCCUGGUGUAGCGGUGAAAUGCGCAGAUAUCAGGAGGAACACCGGUGGCGAAGGCGGGUCUCUGGGCAAUAACUGACGCUGAGGAGCGAAAGCGUGGGGAGCGAACAGG